AUACCUUCUAAUAGAAAACUUUUGACAUUUAGUUUCGUGUUAUUUUUAAUUUUCUUUCAUUCUUUAUGAAAUGAAUUAUGACACUUUUACAGUGCAAUUUUUCAAAGCAAAAUAUGAUAUUUAAGACAAAAAUGUUCAUAGGAAAUGCAGCGUAUCCUCUAAAAAAGUAAGUUCCAAGCUUUUAAUUUUGCAAAAUAAAACAAUUCGUUUGGGAUUUUAAGAAACAAAAACCUUUAUAAUGAAGUAAUUCAAGUCCAUUUUAAGGAAUAAACAAUAAAUUAAGUAAUAUUGCAGGUGUAACAAUUAUUGAUUGUUUGUAUAGUUUGUAUAGUUCCUUGAACUUCGUGGUUCUCCUCUGGCAG